GCCGGGAAGCUUUGGCUGCCGAGCUGACCCUGCCUGGCCCCGCCCCGUUCUCCCCUCACUGCCCACUAGGAGCUGUCGGUCGUCUUGGAGACGGCAGGUGAUGGGAAAGGAUGGCCAGCGAGGUCACAGCGGGAACUGGGCAAGGCUGUGGACAGGGAGAGACCGUGCCCGUUGACCCUGCCUGACGGCCGGUUCAGCCAUGCCCAGCCAGCGUAGGAGACCCGAGGUCGCCGCCUUACCUCCAGGGGCCCUCAGAUGAAGAAACAAGGAUGCUAAGACAGCCAAGGCCUGCAGUAACAAAUUACCACCGACAGGCUUAACGACCCCGACCCCGGAUGUGUCCUCCCUCACAGCUCCGGAAGCCAGCAGCCCAAAAUGCAAGCGUCAAAGGGGCCACGUUCCCUCUGAAGGAUCUGAGAGAUCCUUCCCUGCCUCUUCCAGCCUCCAGGGGCUCCUGGUGUUUCUUGGCUCAUGAAUACAUAACUCCAGCCUCUG